UCUGGCUUGCCACCAGCAGUCUCGUGAGAGCAUGUAACUCACGACAGGGGUUGCGCUCGUUGCGGGACUUAACCCAACACCUCACGGCACGAGCUGACGACAGCCGUGCAGCACCUGCAGACUUCGCCCGAAGGCCACCCGGUUUCCCGGAUUGAACAGUCCAUGUCAAGCCCUGGUAAGGUUCUUCGCGUUGCAUCGAAUUAAGCCACAUACUCCACCGCUUGUGCAGGCCCCCGUCAAUUUCUUUGAGUUUUAAUCUUGCGACCGUACUCCCCAGGCGGAAUGCUUAAUGGGUUACCUACGGUACCGCAGGGGUCAAUACCCGCGACACCUAGCAUUCAUCGUUUACGGCGUGGACUAC
rnacentral:misc_RNA from 1 species